rnacentral:rRNA from 1 species
GUUGAACGCUGGCGGCAUGCCUUACACAUGCAAGUCGAACGGCAGCACGGGUGCUUGCACCUGGUGGCGAGUGGCGAACGGGUGAGUAAUACAUCGGAACAUGUCCUGUAGUGGGGGAUAGCCCGGCGAAAGCCGGAUUAAUACCGCAUACGAUCUACGGAUGAAAGCGGGGGACCUUCGGGCCUCGCGCUAUAGGGUUGGCCGAUAGCUGAUUAGCUAGUUGGUGGGGUAAAGGCCUACCAAGGCGACGAUCAGUAGCUGGUCUGAGAGGACGACCAGCCACACUGGGACUGAGACACGGCCCAGACUCCUACGGGAGGCAGCAGUGGGGAAUUUUGGACAAUGGGCGAAAGCCUGAUCCAGCAAUGCCGCGUGUGUGAAGAAGGCCUUCGGGUUGUAAAGCACUUUUGUCCGGAAAGAAAUCCUUGGCUCUAAUACAGUCGGGGGAUGACGGUACCGGAAGAAUAAGCACCGGCUAACUACGUG